UCACUCAUAGGUGGUGCGAAGGACAGCUCCUUCACUCCCAAGAAGGACUUGAACUGUGCGAAGAGUUCCGGAAAUUUUCUUCAAAGACAGACAGAAACUGGAAGGGUGGUUGGAGCAAGUUUCAACCAACGGACAAGACGGGGAUGCUACUCCUCCUGGAAGCUAGGAGAGGCCGACCCUCGAACACCCUGAAUCAUUGUCAGCACGGCUACUCGCCAUUCCAUACCACCGUGGGACCUAGACAGACAGACACCACAAAGGAUGUGCUACUAGCCCAGAUUGUGGGCAAAGUGAAGCCGUGGCGUCCCCAGACAGAACUGAGGGCAGCAAAGCGGUAUGUCCCCUUUGCUCUGUGCUGCUGCUGUAACAGGAAUGCACAACACAGAGCAAAGAGAAAAACGAAGGGGAGACCCAGCAGGAAGUCGUGUGUUACUGCUUCAUUCGGGAAAAGUGCUGGAUUGCUGAAGAGACAAUUUAAGGGAUCACCUCUGGGAGAGAUUUUACAAUAAAGGACUAUCCUUCAGCCACA